rnacentral:rRNA from 1 species
UAAUACGAAGGGUGCAAGCGUUAUUCGGAAUGACUGGGCGUAAAGAGCGUGAAGGCGGUUCUUUAAGUCAUCUGUUAAAGCGCUCGGCUUAACCGAGCAUAUGCGGGUGAUACUGGAGGGCUAGAGUACAGGAGAGAAAGGUAGAAUUCUCGGAGUAGCGGUAAAAUGCGUAGAUCUCGAGAGGAAUACCGGUUGCGAAGGCGGCCUUUUGGCCUGUUACUGACGCUUAAGCGCGAAAGCGUGGGGAGCAAACAGGAUUAGAUACCCUGGUAGUCCACGCUGUAAACGAUGAUCACUGGAUGUGGGCCUUGCUUAGCAAGGUCUGUGUCGAAGCUAACGCGUUAAGUGAUCCGCCUGAGUAGUACGGUCGCAAGAUUAAAACUUAAAGGAAUUGACGG